rnacentral:rRNA from 1 species
UACAGAGGGCCCAAGCGUUGUUCGGAUUUAUUGGGCGUAAAGGGUGCGUAGGCGGCUCUGUAAGUCGGGUGUGAAAUUUCGGAGCUUAACUCCGAAACUGCAUUCGAUACUGCGGUGCUCGAGGACGGGAGAGGAGACUGGAAUUCAUGGUGUAGCAGUGAAAUGCGUAGAGAUCAUGAGGAAGACCAGUGGCGAAGGCGGGUCUCUGGACAGUUCCUGACACUGAGGCACGAAGGCCAGGGGAGCAAACGGG